rnacentral:rRNA from 1 species
AUUCCUUCGAGGACCUGACCAGCAACGCCGCGUGAGCGAAGAAGGCCUUCGGGUUGUAAAGCUCAAUACCAUGGGACGAUAAUGACGGUCCACACGAAAGCCCCGGCUAACUACUUGCCACCAGCCGCGGUAAUACUUAGGGGGCGAGCGUUGUCCGGAAUAUCUGGGCGUAAAGAGCAGUGCGGCGGCUAUUUUACUCAUGUGGGAAAAACCUGGGCUUAACAACUGAUAUGCUGCAUUAACUAUAUUGCUUGUUUAAUGGAGAGGAGAGAGAAAUUCCUGGUGGAGUGGUGAAGAGCUUCGUAAUCAUGAAGAAUACCACCGGCGAAAGCGGCUCUCUGGACGUGACCU